rnacentral:rRNA from 1 species
UGUGCUAAUACCGCAUAAUCUCUCAGGAGAAAAGCAGGGGAUCGCAAGACCUUGCGCUUUAGGAGCGGCCGAUGCCUGAUUAGCUUGUUGGUAAGGUAAAAGCUUACCAAGGCUUCGAUCAGUAGCUGGUCUGAGAGGACGACCAGCCACACUGGGACUGAGACACGGCCCAGACUCCUACGGGAGGCAGCAGUGGGGAAUUUUGGACAAUGGGGGAAACCCUAAUCCAGCCAUGCCGCGUGAGUGAAGAAGGCCUUCGGGUUGUAAAGCUCUUUCAGCCGGAACGAAACGGU